UGGGGAAUUUUGGACAAUGGGGGCAACCCUGAUCCAGCCAUGCCGCGUGAGUGAAGAAGGCCUUCGGGUUGUAAAGCUCUUUCGGCGGGGAAGAAAUGGCAACGGCUAAUAUCCGUUGUUGAUGACGGUACCCGCAUAAGAAGCACCGGCUAACU
rnacentral:rRNA from 1 species